rnacentral:rRNA from 1 species
CUGCUGCCUCCCGUAGGAGUUUGGGCCGUGUCUCAGUCCCAAUGUGGCCGUCCACCCUCUCAGGCCGGCUACUGAUCGUCGCUUUGGUAGGCCGUUACCCUGCCAACUGGCUAAUCAGACGCGGGCCCAUCUUAUACCACCGGAGUUUUUCACCCUGGGCCAUGCGGCCCUGGGCGCUUAUGCGGUCUUAGCACCUAUUUCUAAGUGUUAUCCCCCUGUAUAAGGCAGGUUACCCACGCGUUACUCACCCGUCCGCCACUAAAGUAAAAAUUGUUCCG